rnacentral:rRNA from 1 species
UACGAAGGGGGGCUAGCGUUGCUCGGAAUCACUGGGCGUAAAGGGUGCGUAGGCGGGUUUUUAAGUCAGAGGUGAAAUCCUGGAGCUCAACUCCAGAACUGCCUUUGAUACUGAAGAUCUUGAGUUCGGGAGAGGUGAGUGGAACUGCGAGUGUAGAGGUGAAAUUCGUAGAUAUUCGCAAGAACACCAGUGGCGAAGGCGGCUCACUGGCCCGAUACUGACGCUGAGGCACGAAAGCGUGGGGGAGCAAACAGG